CACUCUUCACUUGGAUUCCAUCAACGCCACAUCUCAAUGAAUGAACAUAGAACACGGCAUUGUGAGUCUCUGUGGCUCAACAUCGAGAGGGACGGAGGCCCCCUCCCCCACUUCGGCACCCAGCCUCUUCGGCUCUCUCGGUAUUCCUGGCAUCACAGCCUUCCCGGCUGGCUCUCGGUUCGGCCUCUCGACUCUCUCCUCUCUUGGUUAAUAUCAGCUCUCUUGUACCAGCACCAAGUUCCCACCUCCAAGUCUCAGCUCGGGCACACUAUCAGACGUUCUCCGCCUUUCGGGCUCGACCGGCCCUGGUGCGUGCCCACUCUCCACGUUAACUGCGUAACCGCUCCAUCAUGGCACACCAUUUCUUAUAUAGAACUGUUUCGACCGGCAAUCGGAUCCUGCGUGAAGUAUGAUAUGGCACGCGGUUUGGAUAUUAACUAUUGUCAACCGCGUCAUACAUCCAUUUUGUGACCGGGGCCUGCAGCAAUCGAACCUCAAUAGUUUGCACAUGCAGCUAAAAGUAGUUCCAACUGCACUGUGUUCUCGUGGUCCAGCCGAAGAAGCAAUGGUGAGACCCAAACGGCCUACGGCAUGAGCUGCUCCCAUCAUCGCAGGUCGGACUCACCGUGACGGCGACGUUCGGGCGGGAAGAAGCAGGGGGUAUCGAUGUCUUUUCUUGACGAAGUGUGGAAACCUAAUUAUUUACGUGGUUAUCCUCAAGUUCGGGCAAUCUCCAUGCCAUUAUGCCUCCCCUCAUUCCUAGGUCGCAUCAUGUAUUUAUUUAUAUCAGCUGCCCGAUCAACACCAAUUGCUUCAACAGCACAUUGCAUUAGCUCUCUCCAAGCUCUCUGCUGCUCUCUCAUGGCCACUGCAAUCGCCGGAGUUCGCUGGUGCCCGCUCUUCUCCGCCUCACAGCCUCCCAAACACGGCCUCUCUUCCGCAUUUGUUACCCCCUCCAUGCGUCCCACCACCCUUCGGAUACUCUCUCAUAAACAUCGGACGCGACGCUCCAUCUCCAUGUCGAUGAAUGGGUGUGACUGCGACCCGAGGUCUCCGAUCGGCAUCGCCGAGACCCGUACGUUGCAAGUGGCGUCAACCCCAUCCUCAGCCAUGGACCAUCUUGGCGCAGCCAUCGCCUCCCUCAGAGCCAACCCACCGGACACCUCUUCCGGCAUCAUCCGCCUCCAGGUGCCAAUUCAAGGGAAAAUCGAAUCGAUCGACUGGCUCCACUCUCAGGACCCUCACCUACCCCGCUGCUACUUCUCCCGCCGGAGCUCUCGCAUCCGGAGCAGCUCCGAUCUCCUCCUUGAGUCCCUCAAUGGCAACGGCAACGGCAACGGCAACGGAGAUGGCCGCAGCUCCGCCGCUAACAAGCUUGUCAGCGUCGCCGGCAUCGGCUCCGCCGUCUUCUUCCGCCAUCUCCGCCCCUUCUCCUUCCACGACUGGUCGUCCAUCAGAAGGUUCCUCUCCAUGGAUUCUCCUCUGAUUCGUGCUUACGGCGCGAUCCGCUUCGAUGCGAGGUCGAACCUAUCACCGGAAUGGGAGCCCUUUGGUUGUUUCUACUUCGUAGUCCCUCAGGUUGAGUUUGAUGAGCUCGAAGAAGGGUCUGUUCUCGCGACAACUAUUGCGUGGGAUGCUUCUCUUUCAUGGACAUGGGAGAAUGCCAUCGAUUCACUUGAAGCGGUGAUGCGCAAGGUAUCAUCGCUUGUUGGAAAGCUGAAGAGGCAACUCCCUAGAGCAUCUAUUCUAAGCAAUAGUCAUUGUCCUGAUAAGACAAACUGGGAGCUUGCAGUGAACAAAGUUUUGCACUCUAUUCGUCGAGAUGAUUCUCCAAUCACUAAGGUUGUGCUUGCACGGAGCAGCAAAUUUGUCACUGAUACUGAUCUGGAUCCUGUAACAUUGCUAGCUUGCUUGCAGUCAGAAGGGAAAGAUUCCUACCAAUUCUGUUUUCAGCCACCCAAUGCUCCAGCAUUUAUUGGAAACACGCCAGAACAACUAUUUCGUAGAAGCGGGCUUAGCAUUAGCAGUGAGGCUUUGGCCGCAACUCGCGCUAGAGGUGCAACAAAAGCUCUAGAUCUUCAAAUUGAACAAGAAUUAUUAACAAGUCCCAAAGACAUUCUUGAAUUCAGCAUAGUACGAGAUGGCAUAAGAGACAAACUAAAGGCUGUAUGCGAUGGGGUUGUUGUGGAACCAGAGUUGACAGUCCGGAAAUUACCAAGAGUCCAGCACCUAAAUGCCUUGAUUGCUGGCAGGUUAAGAAGUGAAGAUGAUGAGUAUGCUGUACUGUCUUCUCUCCACCCAACUCCAGCGGUUUGUGGAUCUCCGAUGGAAGAUGCAAGGGAUUUUAUAGCUGAAACUGAGGCAUUUGACCGAGGAAUGUAUGCUGGACCUGUUGGCUGGUUUGGAGGAGGAGGAAGUGAGUUUGCAGUUGGAAUUAGGUCAGCAUUAAUAGAAAAGGGUGGUAAAGCAUUCUUUUAUGCUGGGACGGGAAUAGUGGAAGGAAGUGAUCCUUCUCUAGAGUGGAAGGAAUUGGAAAUGAAGACGUCUCAGGUCUGUAGAAAGAUUUCCCGAUGCCUGCGUUGAAGUUUGUUCCUCAUGGAACUGUUAUGCUGCCUGUUUGAUGUGUUCACAAAUUACCUGAAACAAGAGGUGGCUGUGGAAUGAGAAUAUGAUUGCUUGUGACGUGCUACUUGGCAAGGAGGACUCUUGAGAUAGGUUUAUACGUCAAAGAUGGCCUUGAAUAAAACUGUUUGGUUUGGUGAAGACAGUUUCUGAAUAAGAGUAGUUGUACCUCUUUACAAGCAGCAUUUGGAGGGGCGAUGAACCGGUUACCCUGGCUGAGAAUUGUCGGGUGCUGGGAGCCCCCAAUUGCAUACAUAAGCCAGUGAGUGUAAUCAUUGUUGACGACGUGAAUAAAACCAUAUCGGCACCUAGGCAUCCUCUGCACCAAUCCUUGCCCAAAGUGGUUAAAAGCUACGGUUAUCUGCAUCUUUGUAUCGUCCGAGUAGCUGUCACUUCCCCCAAACAACAUCACCUGCAUAUAUUAGUCCGUGGUUUGAUCAUCUUCCUUUCUCCAUGCCUCAUAUUAUUGUAUAGUUUCCCCGUGUUUUUUUUUAUUUAAAUUUAUUGUUAUGUCUGUUACAUUCGGGCUCUGCCAUAAAUGGGGUGAUGGUGAAAAUUAUAGCGAAACUAUCGGACAUGAUACUAUAGUGCAUAAUCCUACGAGUCGCUUUGCGAGUCUCUCAUGGACUCGGUUUCAUUCCUGCAA